rnacentral:rRNA from 1 species
GACGAACGCUGGCGGCGUGCUUAACACAUGCAAGUCGAACGGAAAGGCCCUGCUUUUGUUGGGUGCUCGAGUGGCGAACGGGUGAGUAACACGUGAGUAACCUGCCCUUGACUUUGGGAUAACUUCAUGAAACUGGGGCUAAUACCGGAUAGGAGCUCCUGCUGCAUGGUGGGGGUUGGAAAGUUUCGGCGGUUGGGGAUGGACUCGCGGCUUAUCAGCUUGUUGGUGGGGUAGUGGCUUACCAAGGCUUUGACGGGUAGCCGGCCUGAGAGGGUGACCGGCCACAUUGGGACUGAGAUACGGCCCAGACUCCUACGGGAGGCAGCAGUGGGGAAUAUUGCACAAUGGGCGGAAGCCUGAUGCAGCAACGCCGCGUGCGGGAUGACGGCCUUCGGGUUGUAAACCGCUUUCGCCUGUGACGAAGCGUGAGUGACGGUAAUGGGUAAAGAAGCACCGGCUAACUACGUG